rnacentral:rRNA from 1 species
AAAGGAAUUGACGGGGACCCGCACAAGCGGUGGAGCAUGUGGUUUAAUUCGACGCAACGCGAAGAACCUUACCAGGGCUUGACAUCCCCCGCCGCCCGUGGAAACACGGGGUUCGCGCCUUCGGGCGCGACGGGGAGACAGGUGGUGCAUGGUUGUCGUCAGCUCGUGUCGUGAGAUGUUGGGUUAAGUCCCGCAACGAGCGCAACCCCUACUUUUAGUUGCCAGCAUUAGGUUGGGCACUCUAGAGGAACUGCCGGUGACAAACCGGAGGAAGGUGGGGACGACGUCAAAUCAUCAUGCCCUUUAUGUCCUGGGCUACACACGUGCUACAAUGGCCGGUACAGAGGGCUGCGAAGGGGCGACCCGGAGCGAAUCCCAAAAAGCCGGUCUCAGUUCGGAUUGCAGGCUGAAACCCGCCUGCAUGAAGUUGGAAUCGCUAGUAAUCGCGAGUCAGCACAUCGCGGUGAAUACGUUCCCGGGUCUUGCACACACCGCCCGU